ACCCUUUAAUGGCUGGUGUUCUAACGUAGACCCGUAAUCCGGGUUGCGGACAGUGUCUGGUGGGUAGUUUGACUGGGGCGGUCUCCUCCCAAAGAGUAACGGAGGAGCACGAAGGUUAGCUAAUCCUGGUCGGACAUCAGGAGGUUAGUGCAAUGGCAUAAGCUAGCUUGACUGCGAGAGUGACGGCUCGAGCAGGUGCGAAAGCAGGUCAUAGUGAUCCGGUGGUUCUGAAUGGAAGGGCCAUCGCUCAACGGAUAAAAGGUACUCCGGGGAUAACAGGCUGAUACCGCCCAAGAGUUCAUAUCGACGGCGGUGUUUGGCACCUCGAUGUCGGCUCAUCACAUCCUGGGGCUGAAGUAGGUCCCAAGGGUAUGGCUGUUCGCCAUUUAAAGUGGUACGCGAGCUGGGUUUAGAACGUCGUGAGACAGUUCGGUCCCUAUCUGCCGUGGGCGCUGGAGAAUUGAGGGGGGCUGCUCCUAGUACGAGAGGACCGGAGUGGACGCAUCACUGGUGUUCGGGUUGUCAUGCCAAUGGCACUGCCCGGUAGCUAAAUGCGGAAAAGAUAAGUGCUGAAAGCAUCUAAGCACGAAACUUGCCCCGAGAUGAGUUCUCCCUGACUCCUUGAGAGUCCUGAAGGAACGUUGAAGACGACGACGUUGAUAGGUCGGGUGUGUAAGCGCAGCGAUGCGUUGAGCUAACCGAUA
rnacentral:rRNA from 1 species